UACGAAGGGGACUAGCGUUGUUCGGAAUCACUGGGCGUAAAGCGCACGUAGGCGGAUAUGUCAGUCAGGGGGUGAAAAUCCCGGGGCUCAACCUCGGAACUGCCCUUGAUACAGCAUAUCUUGAGUCCGAUAGAGGUGGGUGGAAUUCCUAGUGUAGAGGUGAAAUUCGUAGAUAUUAGGAAGAACACCGGUGGCGAAGGCGGCCCACUGGAUCGGUACUGACGCUGAGGUGCGAAAGCGUGGGGAGCAAACAGG
rnacentral:rRNA from 1 species